rnacentral:rRNA from 1 species
CGAUGUUAGGGGCGAUGGAGGCCGUCAGCUGCGGCGGCGCGUGUGUUGCCGUCAUCGUUUCGUCACGGGCUCGGCGGCGUACGACGGCGGCGACGCAUCUGGGAAGAUCUUCGAAGGGCUCCUACCUGGGCCGGUGCGGGGAGGAGCGGUAGAGGUCCCGAUAGAGGAGGGCGAGGUCCAGCAAGGGGCGGAGCAGGGGCGUGUUGUAGGAGGAGGCGCCGGCGGGGGAGUGCCGGGGUGAGCCGGCGCGGGGACAGAAGCGGCGAAGGCGCGUCGCAGCGAAGCGGCACUUGCCGCUGCACGAGGAGGAGAGCGAGCGCGCGGAUCGCGAGGCGCCGGGCCGGCGGGGCGCGCGCCCAGGAGCGGCGACCAAGCGCUCGCAGAGCCGAAGGGGGGAACGCAGCUGGCCAGGAGGGCCGCCGCCCACGCCAUCCCCCUUACCUCUACUUCCCCCGCCGCUACUACCUCCGCCGCUACCGACCUUCGCCGGCGCACGAAGGGUCCCCUGCCGCCACCGUCUCCUUCGCAGUCCCGACCUUCGGCUAUGGUAUUAGGAACUGCAACCCCCCUACAGCACACCCCCUACACGUCGUUCGCAAUUUGCGUAAGACCUCUUACUCAGGGUCCACCACAGGCGUUGACAGUUGGAACGGUGACUCUACCGUCAACACACCCGACACGGCCUUCUAUCUCGACAUGUCCUAACCUUUGACGUCAACCCACUCUUCGAACGAUCGGUCAACUGUUGUACACCCAUGUUUAGGUCGGUCGCUCUAAGAAGCUUUCAGUCAAGUGUCUUACAAAAACUUUCUUUCUACCCGCUUUUUGACGUUUUAAACUUCGUUUCACCAGCUCUUGAACGACAUAGAACCCGUGAUACACGACAAACGGAUGACCCUGUAUAAAGAGUAGAGAAACCUCAAUUACGUGGUAACUACGUGUACAAAGUAAGGUGACCUAAGGUAAACAGAGAGAGUUAUAAAUGUAAAUAACCCGGACCUGCUUCCGAUUAACAACUACCUAAUUUCUCAGAUAAGUUCCCAAGAGGUUUGUACUUAUGCAAUCAACCAAAUCCACGAGACAGUAGAAAACGACAGUCGAGUCAACGUCGGAAGUAAGGUUUUGACCCUACCUUCUGUAAAAAACUCCUUGGUUAAUACAACUAUCGAAAACAAGAAGAUCCCUUCUUAGAACUCGUCUCCCGGUUCGAUUUUCGACGAUCACUAUACUGACCUAACGAGUUAUAUGAAGGUAGUUUUCGUGCGGAUUACCACCCAUUACUACGACUCGUUAGUAGUAAGUGUCUCCAGGGUACACCAUGAGAACGACAACCCCUGAUGUAUAAUCACGACGGACCCCUGGCGUAAGGUCGGCUACCUGAACACUUUCGACCUUCUUCAUGUCAACUGCUCAGUUCAAACUGUCCACUUGGAUACGGCCAUUGAUUCUAACGUCCCCGUCUUCAUAGUCGCCCUUCGUAAUUGAAUUUGCCAUUUGAUUGUCAACUUCAAGCUGCUGGACCGCCACUCUGACAGUACAGACUGUAUGAAGUGAAUCACCUUCUUCGUGUCUGUUCCCUUCGGGGACAAGUUGCUAAUCGACUGUUCCAACGGCCCUUGAAAUGUAUACCGCAAUACCGCGAAAGAAGACGAUGGAAAUACAAGACCUCAUAAAAACCAAGUGUUAAACAUGGACGACGAUAGGUCGUCCCUUCACGUUACAGAGACCGAAACGUCGAAAGAACGUCACAAGACCAUUAACGAACGGGUACACGAGAACCAGAACGGUGUGGGUGACGUCACGACCAACCAUGAAGCAAUCCACGUUGCUCUCCUGAAGAAAAUGCACCACCCCUACAAAACCUCUUUAAACGCCUUCAACUACGGUAACACAAACUGUUCUGGCCUUGAAAUUGUUAACCCUUUGGACAUCACUGUUUUCAUUAUCGAAGAGUGUCGCUCCCUCCACAUUUAUGUUUUCUAAUGACCUUGUUACUUACCUGUCUUCCACUGUAAGAAUCAAACCGACGACCUCACCUUAGUUUAUGUUUGGUGGGUGAACCUUUUCGCUAGUACCUUCGACGGGUCCGACGGUUAACGUAGUUAUACUUCCGUUUCCUACCCAGGAAAUACCUUCUUGGUCCCAGACCACGACACCGAUGUUAACCACUCUUUGUCCAAAGCCAACCCUGUCAUCUGACCUAAUCCUCCGUACCACAACAAGCACUGGGUAAAGGACUUCGUCUUUCAAAACCAGUCAGACAACGUAUACAUCGUCAACUGCCAUGAGAUCGACCAGAAUAAACAAAACUCCUGUUCUAGUCUCUUCUAAGAGUAGUUCAAUAGUCACGGGACAGAUUCGUUCCUUAAUCACACAUAUACAAUAGACCCCUGUUCCUCUCACGACGAUACUUACAACGAAGUCAACAACCGUAAGUCAAUCUGUUCCACUAAAGACUUCAAUUUGGUGUACUCUUUUUCUUCAAGUAUAGACUUGAAGUUUUCCUCGUGUUCAAUCAACGCUACCAACCACUACCGUAGUUACUACGACGUCGGGAUCGAAAUCGACUGCAACCUUAGCGUUACCCACCUCCACAACCACGUCGAUCACUGCAUAGAAGUCAACAAGAGUACCCAUUAUCCAAUAGAGUCGAACACCUACGAAAUCUCAAUUCAUUUCUUUGGUACUCUUGUCACUUCGUUUUAGAAACCACCCGAAAAGACAUAUUGUAACAACCCGAUGGGCAACGACGACCUCGUAACGACGGUCACUGCCCAUGCUACGACUGGGGCAGCUAUCGACCUCGUGAUUACCCAAAAUCAAGUCAGUCGCACUACCGGUUAAGGAACGAAAACUCCCGCUCCUACUCAAGUUCCGUAGUACAAGUCUCGUCUGUUUUCGGAGUCUCGUGGUAAAGACCACACAGUCUGCCUCGACUACUCCAUCUCGUUUCAAUAGGUAGUUUUACCUCCUCAUGGACUGACUUCAAACUUCACUGCUGUAUGAAUAAUGAAGUGCUUGUAAACUAAGAUCAAGUCAGUGUAUCGGUGUCCACUCAUUUUUGUGACUACUGUGACAUUAGUGGUUCUCAGAAUUUGUAAUGCACUACAUCUUCAGGAGCUUGGUCACUGCCUAGAACCCAGAAUAGUUGUCCCAUGGUAUGAAAACUGUGUGCUAAAUUAAUUAACAACACCCACCUACUUCAUAGUGUACGAGUGGUGCUAUGUUAUGUUUCAAGUGACCGACUAGUCACAUCAUCAUUAUAACACGGGUUAAAUUAACAUCACACGCCUAUAACGUUUAAGUUACGUAUUUUAAACAGUUUUA